UACAGAGGUCUCAAGCGUUGUUCGGAUUCAUUGGGCGUAAAGGGUGCGUAGGUGGCGGGGUAAGUCAGGUGUGAAAUCUCGGAGCUCAACUCCGAAACUGCACUUGAUACUGCCUUGCUCGAGUACUGGAGAGGAGAUUGGAAUUUACGGUGUAGCAGUGAAAUGCGUAGAUAUCGUAAUGAAGACCAGUGGCGAAGGCGAAUCUCUGGACAGUUACUGACACUGAGGCACGAAGGCCAGGGGAGCAAACAGG
rnacentral:rRNA from 1 species